UACAGAGGUCCCAAGCGUUGUUCGGAUUUACUGGGCGUAAAGGGCGCGUAGGCGGCGGAUCAAGUCAGCUGUGAAAUCUCCGAGCUUAACUCGGAACGGUCAGCUGAUACUGUUUUGCUAGAGUGCAGAAAGGGCAACCGGAAUUCUUGGUGUAGCGGUGAAAUGCGUAGAUAUCAAGAGGAACACCUGAGGCGAAGGCGGGUUGCUAGGCUGACACUGACGCUGAAGCGCGAAAGCUAGGGUAGCAAACGGG
rnacentral:rRNA from 1 species